rnacentral:sRNA from 1 species
GCGACAUAUUAAGCGUAACAACCUCCAUAAAAGACACCCCUAAAUCGAAAAUAAAAUAACAUCCAAUGAAUGAUGAAAUAUUUACCCAGCUCGCUUUGAUCUUAAGUGAAGAAAACUUCCGAACCAACGCAAAAGAAGUCUCUGAACCCAAACUAAUAUAAAAUGUUUUCGAUUUGGUGUAAACUUUUUUAAUAGCGUUAUGUAUUUCUCUUACAGAACGCAGUGGAUGGAAUUAUCAUUUUGCCCCUUCAUUCAAUCAGUCGAAGCGUCGCUUUCGCACACGCAAUUCUAGAUUCAAAAUACGAUUUGUUAUUUAGGUUUUGAAACGCGUAAAGAAUUUAACUGCGCACACUGCUUGAGGAACUUUCAGGUUUUGAAAUGUGAAAAGAAUUUAACAGCGGACGCUGCUUGAGGAACUUUGAGAACGCAGUGGAUGGAAUUAUCAUUUUGCCCCUUCAUUCAAUCAGUCGAAGCGUCGCUUUCGCACACGCAAUUCUAGAUUCAAAAUACGAUUUGUUAUUUAGGUUUUGAAACGCGUAAAGAAUUUAACUGCGCACACUGCUUGAGGAACUUUCAGAACGCAGUGGAUGGAAUUAUCAUUUUGCCCCUUCAUUCAAUCAGUCGAAGCGUCGCUUUCGCACACGCAAUUCUAGAUUCAAAAUACGAUUUGUUAUUUAGGUUUUGAAACGCGUAAAGAAUUUAACUGCGCACACUGCUUGAGGAACUUUCAGGUACAUAAGUUAACAAAUUUAAAUUAAGCAAGGUAACAUGGUUAUUUAUUUUCGAUAUUGGAUUUGUUUAAAGUGUAUUUUAGUCCACUAGAACGACUUUUUAGUUAAUAUACGGCUCGAUUUUACCUCAAUAAAUAAAGCAAUAAUAAAUAUAACAAAGUUUU